GAUGAACGCUGGCGGCGUGCUUAACACAUGCCAGUCGAACGGAAAGGCUCCUGCUUGCAGGGGUACUCGAGUGGCGAACGGGUGAGUAACACGUGGGUGAUCUGCCCUGCACUUCGGGAUAAGCCUGGGAAACUGGGUCUAAUACCGGAUAGGACGAUGGUUUGGAUGCCAUUGUGGAAAGUUUUUCGGUGUGGGAUGAGCUCGCGGCCUAUCAGCUUGUUGGUGGGGUAAUCGCCUACCAAGGCGUCGACGGGUAGCCGGCCUGAGAGGGUGUACGGCCACAUUGGGACUGAGAUACGGCCCAGACUCCUACGGGAGGCAGCAGUGGGGAAUAUUGCACAAUGGGCGCAAGCCUGAUGCAGCGACGCCGCGUGGGGGAUGACGGCCUUCGGGUUGUAAACUCCUUUCGUCAGGGACGAAGCGAAAGUGACGGUACCUGGAUAAGAAGCACCGGCUAACUACGUG
rnacentral:rRNA from 1 species